rnacentral:rRNA from 1 species
UACGUAGGGGGCAAGCGUUGUCCGGAAUUAUUGGGCGUAAAGAGCGUGUAGGCGGUCCGGUAAGUCAGCUGUGAAAGUCAAGGGCUCAACCCUUGAAAGCCGGUUGAUACUGUCGGGCUAGAGUCCGGAAGAGGCGAGUGGAAUUCCCGGUGUAGCGGUGAAAUGCGCAGAUAUCGGGAGGAACACCAGUGGCGAAGGCGGCGACCUGGACGGAUACUGACGCUGAGGUGCGAAAGCGUGGGGAGCAAACAGG